UACAGAGGUGGCAAGCGUUGUUCGGAAUCACUGGGCGUAAAGGGUGCGUAGGCGGGUCUUUAAGUCAGGGGGGAAAUCCUGGAGCUCAACUCCAGAACUGCCUUUGAUACUGAGGAUCUUGAGUCCGGGAGAGGUGAGUGGAACUGCGAGUGUAGAGGUGAAAUUCGUAGAUAUUCGCAAGAACACCAGUGGCGAAGGCGGCUCACUGGCCCGGUACUGACGCUGAGGCACGAAAGCGUGGGGAGCAAACAGG
rnacentral:rRNA from 1 species